rnacentral:rRNA from 1 species
UGUACCUACGGGACGCAGCAGUGAGGAAUAUUGGUCAAUGGACGCAAGUCUGAACCAGCCAAGUAGCGUGCAGGAUGACGGCUCUCCGGGUUGUAAACUGCUUUUAGUUGGGAAUAAAAGGGGGCUCGUGAGCCCCGUAUUGUACGUACCAUCAGAAAAAGGACCGGCUAAUUCCGUGCCAGCAGCCGCGGUAAUACGGAAGGUCCGGGCGUUAUGCGGAUUUAUUGGGUUUAAAGGGAGCGUAGGCAGGCUUUUAAGUCAGC